UACGAAGGGUGCAAGUGUUAAUCGGAAUUACUGGGCGUAAAGGGUGCGUAGGCGGUUGUUUAAGUCUGUCGUGAAAUCCCCGGGCUCAACCUGGGAAUGGCGAUGGAUACUGGGCAGCUAGAGUGUGUCAGAGGAUGGUGGAAUUCCCGGUGUAGCGGUGAAAUGCGUAGAGAUCGGGAGGAACAUCAGUGGCGAAGGCGGCCAUCUGGGACAACACUGACGCUGAAGCACGAAAGCGUGGGGAGCAAACAGG
rnacentral:rRNA from 1 species